UAUAUAUAUAUAUAUAUAUAUAUAUAUAUAUAGAGUGAGGCUACUAUGCUAUCGGAAGCACGGAGCUUUCCGUGCUUUCAGCUCAUUUUCGAUGUUGCGAUUUUCGAAUCGUCGAUUGGCUCCGUUAAACUUGAUCUAGAGUAUUUGGAGUACCUAGAAAAUAAAUUUUAUGAUUUUACGNGAAUCGUCGAUCGGCUCCGUUAAACUUGAUCUAGAGUAUUUGGAGUACCUAGAAAAUAAAUUUUAUUAUUUUUCGAUAUCAUUUGCCUAGUGAUCGAAUAGGCUCAAAAUCAACAAAUUUCAAUGGCCGUAGUGAGCCGUUUGCAAGUUUAACGGUGUAGAAAUAUCCAAAUCACGUGAAAUUUUGAUAGAAAAUUCUUUAUACUAUAUAAAACAAGAUCAAUAUCUUUGAUUUAAAAUUUUAAUGUCGUAUUAUUACAUUUUGUAAGAUUUUUAUUUUCAGCCGUUGAUUUUGAGCCCCUUCGUUCACUAGGCAAAUGAUAUCGUAAAAUCAUAAAAUUUAUUUUCUAGGUACUUCAAAUACUCUAGAUCAAGUUUAACGGAGCCGAUCGACGAUUCGAAAGUCGCAACAUCGAAAAUGAGCUGGAAGCACGGAAGGCUCCGUGCUUCCGAUAGCAUAGUAGCCUCACUCUAUAUAUAUAUAUAUAUGUAU
rnacentral:lncRNA from 1 species